rnacentral:rRNA from 1 species
CUCAAGAUGAGAUUUCCUGACUUCGGUUAUAAGAUCCCUCGAAGAUGACGAGGUUAAUAGGUUCGAGGUGGAAGCGUGGUGACACGUGGAGCUGACGAAUACUAAUCGAUCGAAGACUUAAUCAAUUUUUAAA